UCACAUCCCUCAGGAUCACAUAUCUCACCUCAGCAUGGCAGAUGCAAUCAGGAGCAGGGUCUGUAUACAUAGGUAGGUGGGGCAAGCAGUUCUCUAGAGCACAUGUCUCAUCUUAAGCAUUGCACAUGCAAUCAGGGGCGGGAUAUGUAUAAAGAGAUUGUUCAGAUUUCCGUAACCUGAUCUGCCCUUGUCGGUUUUCGUGCCCUUCCACCACAGCCUGUUGGAAUUCUGACCAACCUAUGCUCUUAUUCAGGAAGAGCUGGCCCAACAAUGCCAUGUUUGGCCUGAUUGUCUUCAAGUUCUCA
rnacentral:lncRNA from 1 species